rnacentral:lncRNA from 1 species
AAUAAAAAAGAAAAAAAACCUUCAAAUACCACCCGUGUGGUUUCGCAUUUUUUUAUUUUAAUACCUUAUGGUUUAAAGUGUAUCAAUUUAGUACCCUGUGAUUUUAUUUUUCUCGUUUUAUUAUCUAUUUUUACUUUUUUUUUUUCGUUAAAUCAAUAACAAAGUUAAAACUAAAGGGUACAAAAGUGAAUAUUCGAUAAAUCUAGGUAGGGCAUCUGAAGUUUGUUGUAUAUUAAAGGAGGAGCUGACGAAAAGAGAAAAAUGAAACCACAUGGUACUAAUUUGAUACACUUUAAAUCAUAGAAUACUAAAGUAAGAAAGUGCGAAAUCAUAAGGAUGAUAUUUGAAGUUUACCCAAGACAUUCUCUCUGCAACUCGUUGAGUUCCAAUUAUUCAUAUUCCCUUCUUAUUCCUACGUUUUUGCCUUUAUUAAUCAAUGUUAUUUUCAAAUCAUGUUCUACAAUGAUGAUGUUGGGUCAUGUACUCAUUUGUGGUCCGUCCGGCUUCGGCUUUCUAUGGGCUUAAAGAGUGAUUGAGAACACUUUAAAUCACAUAGUAUUAAAGUGAAAAAGGAUGAAACCACAGAAGUGAUAUUUGAAGUUUACCCAAGACAUUCUCUCCGCAACUCGUUGAGUUCCAAUUAUUCAUAUUCCCUUCUUAUUCCUACAUUUUUGCCUUUAUUAAUCAGCGUUAUUUUCGUUUCUUUUUUUUUUGAGAGAGAUAGGAAGCACGCUACCCGCUUCAUCUAUUUCAUUUAGAAAUAUUAGCUGAAAAUGUGAAUCAACUAGGAUUCGAACUUGGGACCUCGGGUACCAACUACCAAGCCCUUUGACACUUGCUCUAGGGACGGUCGGUUAAUGAGCGUUAUUUCCAAAUCAUGUUCUAUAAUUGUUGGGAAUCCGGUACUUGCCCCGGUACCGGAUCUUGUGAAUCCGCAACCAGCUCCGAUACCGACUGCUGUGGAUCCGGUACUGAUGGUUGGGAUUUCGCAACGGAAACAUCAAGUCGGGUUUUUACCAUAAACCCGUCUACUCAGCAAAAGCUGAUACAAUCAUAAAAGAGAAAAAUAUGCAGGUAAAAUAAGAUUCAUUAAAUAAGAGAAGAUUACACCUGACUCCUCUUCUGCACAGAGUAGCUACAACCCGAGCCCUCUUUCUGAAUCUCUUCUACCUUCUCUCGUCUUCUAUAACACCCAAAAAAGACAACCUUUCCACGUGCACCCGUGCACAAGGUGCACUCAAAGAAUGGCUAUUCUCUCUCUCUCUCUCUUUUUCUCUUUGGUAGGGUAGCCCAAAAGCUCCAGCAGUACUUCCCCAAAAACAAACCCAUCAAGAGCUAUUUAUAAAGCUCUACCAAAAUGUACCCCAAUCCUAAUAUAUUUAGGAUUCCGACUUUAAUUAAUAUCUAAAUCUAUCUUAAUUAAUCUCUAAUAGAUUUAAAUAUUAAUCCUAAUCUAGUAGGUUUAUUCUCUAAUUAAUAUUUAAAUCUUAAUUUAUCUCCAACAAAUUUAAAUAUUAAUUCUUAUCUAAAUAGGAUUCAACUACAAAUCUAACCAAAUCCUAAUAAUCUCCACCUUGGUUGGAUUUGUAAUCUUUAACCGCUACGUUGAGCUCACCAUGCAAGCUCCACCUUGAACUUGUCUCCUCCGCUCGAUGUCGCCGCAUCCGUCGCUCCGCCUCGAGCGACUGCAUUUCCGCGAACUUUUGGAACCCAAACCGUCUUCCCUUUCGUUCUAACUAUGCUCCCGUUCAGAACGUAUAAGUUCCCACGCUUGUUCGCCUCACACACGACUCGAUCUCGCUUUCGGACCCUCAUAGCUCUACCUGAAGCCGAAAUAUCGCAACCCUUCGAGUCCAACGCGCCUAACGAGAUCAAAUUUCGUCUUAAUCCAGGAACGUGUCGCAUACCUGUCAGCGUCCUCACGAUCCCAUCGUGCAUUCAGAUCUUCAUCGUGCUGUUGGGAUCAAAAAAUUUUGAAAUUUAAAAUUCAAAUUGAGAAUAUAGAUGGAAGGGAAUUGACGCGAUUAAUGGUUGCCUUAGAUGACCAACUAUUAAAAGGAAA